AGCCUGUAGUUUAGUGGCUAAGACGCAUGACUGGGACCCCUGAGGUUGGUGGUUCAAACCCAGGGGGGACUG